AGCAGCCGCGGUAAUUCCAGCUCCAAUAGCGUAUAUUAAAGUUGUUGCAGUUAAAAAGCUCGUAGUUGAAUUUCGGGGUCAGUAAGUUGGUCGUGCCACUGGUAUGUACUGGCUUUACUGAUUCCUCCUUCUUGUAGAACCGUAAUGCCAUUAAGUUGGUGUUGCGGGAAAACAGGACUGUUACUUUGAAAAAAAUUAGAGUGUUUAAAGCAAGCUAACGCUUGAAUACAUUAGCAUGGAAUAAUGAAAUAGGACGAACGAUCCUAUUUUGUUGGUUUCUAGGAUUGACGUAAUGAUUAAUAGGGAUAGUUGGGGGCAUUAGUAUUCAAUUGUCAGAGGUGAAAUUCUUGGAUUUAUUGAAGACUAACUACUGCGAAAGCAUUUGCCAAGGAUGUUUUCAUUAAUCAAGAACGAAAGUUAGGGGAUCGAAGACGAUCAGAUACCGUCGUAGUCUUAACCAUAAACUAUGCCGACUAAGGAUCGGAUGAUGUUAAUUUUUUAAUGACUCAUUCGGCGCCUU
rnacentral:rRNA from 1 species